AAAUUCUGAAUCAUGUUGUUUUCCUGAAACAACAUAAUAUUGUAUGUCAAUUACACAGCAAAAAAAAAGGCAGUAGUCUGCAGCGUUAGACAUCUCCCCGAUUCCUCUUUCCCCAGAUGGAGACCAACACCACUUGCCAACUUACUGAAUUUCUCUGCUAAAGGCCUGGCGGGCACUGGCCCAUGUAAUUCUCACCACUGCCCUGUGAGGAGCUGAGGGUAUUGCUACCUCCGCUUUCCAGACCAGGAAAUUAAGGUUGGGAGGGGUUAGGUGCUAGCAAAAGGUCACACAGCAGAAGGGACAGGGGAGCUGGGAUUCCAAUGUGGGUUCACUGGGAGAGAACCACGGGCCUUUCUUCUUGGCCUCCUAAGUGUGAGCCAUCAACUGCUGGGUGGGUGAUCAGGUCUCCAAGAUUAAUGAGUCAUCAGGACUCUCAAAGCACUAUCUGAAGGUAAACAAGUCAGGAUCACCUCCCGCUUAGGGUUUGUGAGUGAGUUUUCCUCCCUUGGGAGAGCAAGGGGGCAAAUCUAUACCUAAAGGAGCACAAGGCAGGGGCUCAGGUUUCUCCUGGGGCCACCUUGCUUCCAACCCCCUGGGGAUCCUGGCUAGGUGCUAUUCUCAGGAGGGUCCCCCCCACCCCGCUUGGCAGGGAAACUAGUGCAGGUUGACAGGACCUCCGGAUGGAGGGAGAGCCCUGGGGGUACUCGGCUUAAGCCAGAUCUGAACUGUUUACCUGGGUCUUGCUCCCCAGGCAGGAGGCCCCCUGCAAGGUCCUAGCUACACUGAUCUUAUCUCCUCCUGGGGAAUUUUCCUACAGGGAGGUGGGAAAGGUCAUCUGUGUGUCCCCCGGAGCCUUGAGUAGGCUGAAUCCCAUCUGCUGCAGAGAGGCUGUGGCAGAGGUCCUGGAGCCGCCCCGUGUGGUCCCAGAGCUCCACCCACUCGGGCCCCUGUGUCCUUCUAAGGCACACCAGGGAGUUCUGAGUGGGGGUUAUCAAUGUGGUACCUGUCCCGCCAGAUAGCUGAAAAUCAUUGUCAGGUUUAUUAAGCUCUCCUCUGGCAAGGUUCACUUGGCUCCAACUGGAACAUGGGUGCAGGAUGAGAAACUCCAUCUCUGUCAAGGAGCAGGUCUGAAGGGCCACCUCUUCAUAAUCCAUAUACCGUAUUUGCAAUUUCUGCCACAUCUGCAUUCCACCAGUAGUGUUGCUUCAAUUUUUACUUAAGUCUAUUAUUUUAUUCCUUAUUAAUUUUUUUAAAAGUAUCAACAGAGGUCCGUGGAACCAGUAUCCAUGUAUUAUACAUAGAAAGUCACCAUAAAGAAAAAUAAUGAUGAACACUGUUGGCCACACAGAUGAGCAACUUACACAGACACGCAAUAACGCAGAUCAGUUUCACCAACAGAAAGCUUCUGCGCAGGAGCUGGGCCGGGCGGUUCCAUUUGUACGAAUGUUGUGAAAAACAGGCAGGUGUAACCUACGCUCUUUGGGGAGGGAGGUAGUGACCUGAAAGGGAACGGGGGAGGGGGCUUCAGGGAGCCCAGAAAAUUUUGUUUUCUGAGUUCAGAAUUAUCUGACUGCUGGUUUCACAGAUCAUUCAGUCUGUGCUAAUUCGUGCAGUUGAACACCACUUAUGGUGCUAAACUUCAAUAUUUAAAAAACUUAAAAGUCAGUGGAAACACAGUGAACCAGAGAAGGUGCUCAUUAAAGUCUAGGGGAAAGGAUGCUGGGCUAGGAGCUCUGAGCCCAGCACCACGGCUCCUUGUUGUCAAGAAGGAGGGUCAAAGGCCAGAUUUCAAGUCUUAGCCCUUGGGAAGACACGGAAGGAGGCAACCUACCCUCGGCUCCAGGUAAAUGGUUGCCGUAAGGUCUGGGUAGGGAGCUGGAGACAGUGAGUGCCCCGGCAGGUGGCAAGUAGAAGGAGGGGGCCUGGGGGACCAGUAGAUGUCAGAGCAGGAGCCACAGUGCUGGGAGCUAGCCGGGUGGGGUGGGGGAGGUGCCCCAGGCCCCACGGGGGUUGCUGGCUUUGAGGACUCCUGGGUGUCUUGGAGCAACCAGGUCUUGGUUUUGGGCUGCUUCCGCACCAGCACCCGUAUCUCAGGUCUGGCCUAAAAAGUGGGCUAAUGCCUUCGCCCUCCCAGGGCUAGGCCAGCUGGUGGAAAGGAUCCAGUUUCCCAGGUCGGUGCCACCUCCGUGCCCCCCAUUCAGUCUAGAUUCUCAAGCGCUUGGAACCUAAGGGAUGCAUCUACCUACCCUGGGCCUCAGCAGGAGGCCGCAUAGACACUGCCUCCGUGGAAGCCCUGACUCUGUGGGAAGCCCGGAGAGCCCCCACCCCCAAGCGCUGAGCCAGAGCCUCUGGGGCGCCCUCCACCCCCGCUUGGGCGGGCCUCCUGAGGCUGCUUUAGUAUUAAGCGUUAAUGAUUAAAUCCGGGGUUCUCCAUUAACCCUGCCGCCCGCCUUUGUCCCCAGGCCGCCUAGGAGCCUCCUCCUUUGAAAUGCCACAUAAAAAUGAUAGAUGCCCUCUUCCUCCCUCCCGGGAUCGGAUCGCCAGGCCCUCUUUCCCUUUAAAGUUUAAGUCAGGCGCGCCCAGCUUAAGCACAGAAGCGCGAGGCCACCUGGGCCGUGCAGGCCAGGCACUGCCCGGACCAGAAGCAAGCGAAGGAGUGGGCUGCGCGGGGACUUAGCCGCAAGGAUCUGACGCGGGAACCAGGGCAGCCCCCUCUGGCCAGAUCACGCCCGGCUUAGGGCCGGCCCUGCCUCUCAGCCUGGGAUCACGUGCACGGCGGUAACAGUAACACCCACCGCUGCAGAAGAAAGGUUGACCCGUCCACAGGGCAGAGCGCCGGAAUGAGCAUUGAAUGAGAAAGGGUGUAGACACGGUUGGGUUGGUGAAUUCCGAGUUCUGCACCACUGCCGCACAGAGAGGGGUCCAGGGACGGCGACACUGGCACCACGGGCGAGCUUGUUAGAAAGGCGGGAUCUCUGGUCGCUGAAUCAGAACCUGCGCUUUCAUCAGAUUCCCAGGCGACUGCUGCGCGCCCUGCAGUCGGAGAAGGUCGUCUUACCCGCAUAACCAGAGGUGCUGGUCAUAGGACUAACAAUAAGGGCUAACACGUCUUGAGCGUUUGUCAGGGGCCAGCAUCGUUCUAAGCACUUAGCAUAAUUGAUUCUGUUUCAUCUUGAAACGUGCCGGAUAGACCAUUUUGUGGAUGCCAAGGUUGAGUGAGGUUCGGGGAGAUGUGGUGACUUGCCACAAGUCACAUGCGGGAGGAUCAGAAGCCCGAGCUGGGACAGCGUCGCAUAUAAGCUCCCAGGCAGGAAGCCCUUCCAGUCAGCUUCUCUGCAUGCGCCAUAUCAAGUUGGGGACUGUCCUUUGGAUUAACCAGAGACGGACUCCUGGAGGCUAGGAGUGCACCCAGUUGAGAUGAAUGAGUCGGAACACACUUGGCCAGAGAGACACAUGGUCCUGGAGGCCCCCACCUGCAGCCGCUCCAGACAGAUGAGACCUCUCAUCUCCACAGGCCAACAUUUUGGCAGAAACACCAGCGUUCUGUGUAAGAACCCCCCCACCCCCACUCCUGGCAGACCUACCCCCACCAGGUCCACUGUGGCCCCACAAAAGGGUUAAAUUAGGACUCAGCCACUACAUAAAUCUGUGUUUAUCUGCUGCAAAGUAAGCUAUUUAGGUUUCUGAUUUACAAUCCUCCGUUUUCAUAAAAGUCAGUCAUUCCCAGUAAAAGAAUGUGGGUUAGAUUUAUAGGAUCUGCGUUAGUCUUUAAAGCCCAAAGCUGGUCUAUGACUCACUCCCUUUAAUGUUUUUGCUCUAGUCCGGAGAUAUUCAUGUGCAAAGAGAAAGAUUCAGAUCUCUGCCCUAAAAAAUAAGACUUUUGGGGGGAACUAAUUAUAAUGGCGUCAAUUGUACUAUGCUUGUAAACUUGCCCUCGGCAGGCCCCCCUGGAGCCUGUUUUCCAAGGGUUUUAUUCCACAAUAAAAUGUGCUCUGGUUUGCAGCUUGGCAUACAAGACCUCCAGUGGUAUGAGCGCAUGUUUUUUCCUACCAAAUUAUUAGAAAUAAACAGCCCACCAGUGGAAGGGCAGAAAAAUUAUAAGCAAGGAAAAUAAAUCUUGGAAUGUUUGCAUUUGGUGCCUUUAAUAAAAUCGGUCACUUAGCCCAAUGGCCCAACUGGCAAAAUGGAGCCAGCCUGGUAUUUUUAUUUUAACUUGAGUUUGUGUUUUGCCAGUGUAAAACGGGGUCAAGGCAAGGCACCAUGGAAAAAGGCUUUGAUGUCUCCUUCAAAAAUAUUUUGCACUGUGACUUUAUGGUAUUUCGUGCCCUCCUCCCCCUCCCCACCCCCAGCCCCCAGCCUGAUGAACUGCAUGUCUAACUCAUGACCAUCACAAAUAAAGCCAUCCCAACAGUCCUCUUUCCGGGCCUCUCCCCUACCCCCAUGAAGUCAGAGUUCAAGGCAGAAUGCUUAAUACACAAUAAAAAUGCUGAUCAACAUAAUCAAAUAGAAUUAAAGAAGAUGGAAGAAACUAGCCUUUUAAACUUUUUCCAAAGCCAACCCAAGGUAAGGGGCCCCAGUGCAAGCGGUGGGGAGGGAAUGAAGGGCUCCCAGACUGGGCUUUGGGCCAGGUCCGGUCAAACUGGGUUAGGAGCGAAGGUUUGCCCGCGUGUGGAGAAGCGGAGAAGGAAGGGCUGAGAAGAUGACGGAGAGUGAUGAGCCCAGAAGGCAAGCAAGCUCUCCUUCACCGUCUGUGUGAGACGGAAGGGCGCGCUUCUCUGUAGUAUCUGCGCUUCUCUGUAGAGAAAAGUGCGCUUCUCUGUAGACUUGAGUUGUGUGUCAGCGUGGGCACAGGAGAGAGAGCGCGUGGUAAAGCAACAGACUUUGAAGUAUCUGCUCAGUCAUGGGCAGGACGGGUUUCCUGUGUGCCUGCAAAGCGCAGGCUGAGGCCCCUCCAGACACAUGGGUGCAUGUGACCUGCCCUUGACUUUUUCCGAGACUAGUGCGGGAGCAGAUGAGUUGGCAGAGGGUCUCGGAACAAGCAAGCAGCGCCCGCAGAACCUUCCAGAUCGACCCUAUGUGGCCCAUUCAUGUUUCAGUGGGGCUGCAACAAGGAUCCCACCGGGCUUCUUCCUUAAUUUGUCUGCACCUUCACCUGAGUGCCGAGCAUUCUGGCAAGGAAACCACAGCUCAGGAGGACAGACCUUCCCACAUCAUGUAGCUACUCCAAAGAAGAUACACAAAUGGCCAAUAGGAGCAUGAGAAGAUGCUCAGUGUCCUUAUCUACUAGAGAUAGAAAAAUCAAAACCACAGUGAGAGGCCUUUUCACACCCACUAGGAUGGUUGUAAUUAAAAAAAGAAAAAAUAGAUGGACAAACCCUGUACUGGGAAGGCUGUAGAGAAGUCGCAACCUCCGUGCACAGCUGGUGGGAAAGUAAAGUGGGACUACUGCUUUGAAAAACAAUCUGGCAGUUCCUCAAAAUGUUAUAUGCAUUGAGUUAGCAUAUGACCCAGCCACUGGACUUCCAGGGACAGGAGAAAUAGAAGUGUAUCCAAGUGAAAUGUAGCACGCAAAUGUUUUUAGCAGCCUUAUGUGCCAUAGCCGAACAAUGGAGCCAACCCAAACGUCUGUCAAUGAAUAAAUGGGUAAAUGUAAGAUGGCAUAUCAGUGCACUGGAAUAUUACUCAGCCAUAGAAAAGAAGGGAGAAGUGACAGGCAACAACGUAGAAGAACCUUGAAAAAAUGAGGCUACAUGAAAGAAGCCGGACACAAAUGGCUGCCUAAGGUACAGUUCUCUCGACAUGAAACAACUAUCGCCGGCAAAUCUGUGGAGACAGAGAACGGACUAGUGGUUGCUUAGGGCUGAAGGGUUAAGGAUGAAUGGAGAACAACUGCUAAUGGGCAAAGGUUUUUUCACUUGGGGUAAUAAAAAUGUUCUACAAUUGAUUGUA